rnacentral:rRNA from 1 species
AACGAACGCUGGCGGCAUGCCUAACACAUGCAAGUCGAACGAGACCUUCGGGUCUAGUGGCGCACGGCUGCGUAACGCGUGGGAACCUGCCCUUAGGUUCGGAAUAACUCCCCGAAAGGGGUGCUAAUACCGCAUAAUGUCUUCGCACCAAAGAUUUAUCGCCUUUGGAUGGGCCCGCGUUGGAUUAGCUAGUUGGUAGGGUAAAAGCCUACCAAGGCGACGAUCCAUAGCUGGUCUGAGAGGAUGAUCAGCCACACUGGGACUGAGACACGGCCCAGACUCCUACGGGAGGCAGCAGUGGGGAAUAUUGGACAAUGGGCGAAAGCCUGAUCCAGCAAUGCCGCGGGAGUGAUGAAGGCCGUAGGGUUGUAAAGCUCUUUUACCCGGGAUGAUAAUGACAGUACCGGGAGAAUAAGCUCCGGCUAACUCCGUG